rnacentral:rRNA from 1 species
CACGUAGGGCGCAAGCGUUGUCCGGAAUUAUUGGGCGUAAAGAGCUCGUAGGCGGUCUGUUGCGUCCGCUGUGAAAACUCGGGGCUUAACCCCGAGCCUGCAGUGGAUACGGGCAGACUAGAGGUAGGUAGGGGAGAAUGGAAUUCCCGGUGUAGCGGUGAAAUGCGCAGAUAUCAGGAGGAACACCAGCGGCGAAGGCGGCGCUCUGGGCCGGUACUGACACUGAGGAGCGAAAGCGUGGGGAGCGAACAGG